rnacentral:rRNA from 1 species
GUGCGGGCGAUACGGGCAGACUUGAGUACUGCAGGGGAGACUGGAAUUCCUGGUGUAGCGGUGGAAUGCGCAGAUAUCAGGAGGAACACCGGUGGCGAAGGCGGGUCUCUGGGCAGUAACUGACGCUGGGGAGCGAAAGCGUGGGGAGCGAACAGGAUUAGAUACCCUGGUAGUCCACGCCGUAAACGGUGGGUACUAGGUGUGGGUUUCCUUCCUUGGGAUCCGUGCCGUAGCUAACGCAUUAAGUACCCCGCCUGGGGAGUACGGCCGCAAGGCUAAAACUCAAAGAAAUUGACGGGGGCCCGCACAAGCGGCGGAGCAUGUGGAUUAAUUCGAUGCAACGCGAAGAACCUUACCUGGGUUUGACAUGCACAGGACGCCAGUAGAGAUAUUGGUUCCCUUGUGGCCUGUGUGCAGGUGGUGCAUGGCUGUCGUCAGCUCGUGUCGUGAGAUGUUGGGUUAAGUCCCGCAACGAGCGCAACCCUUGUCCUAUGUUGCCAGCGGGUUAUGCCGGGGACUCGUAGGAGACUGCCGGGGUCAACAUCGGAGGAAGGUGGGGAAGACGUCAAGUCAUCAUGCCCCUUAUGUCCAGGGCUUCACACAUGCUACAAUGGCCGGUACAAAGGGCUGCGAUGCCGUGAGGUGGAGCGAAUCCUUUCAAAGCCGGUCUCAGUUCGGAUC